rnacentral:rRNA from 1 species
CAGUCGCCGCGGGAAUACGAAGGGUGCAAGCGUUAAUCGGAAUUACUGGGCGUAAAGCGUGCGUAGGCGGUGAGUUAAGUCUGUUGUGAAAUCCCCGGGCUCAACCUGGGAAUGGCAAUGGAUACUGGCUCGCUAGAGUGUGAUAGAGGAUGGUGGAAUUCCCGGUGUAGCGGUGAAAUGCGUAGAGAUCGGGAGGAACAUCAGUGGCGAAGGCGGCCAUCUGGAUCAACACUGACGCUGAGGCACGAAAGCGUGGGGAGCAAACAGGAUUAGAUACCCCGGUAGUCCCUGUCUCUUAUAA